rnacentral:rRNA from 1 species
AUUGAACGCUGGCGGCAGGCCUAACACAUGCAAGUCGAGCGGAGCGGCGGACGGGUGCGUAAUGCCUAGGAAUCUGCCUGGUAGCGGGGGAUAACGUCCGGAAACGGGCGCUAAUACCGCAUACUAUCAGAUGAGCCUAGGUCGGAUUAGCUAGUUGGUGGGGUAAAGGCCUACCAAGGCGACGAUCCGUAACUGGUCUGAGAGGAUGAUCAGUCACAAUGAAACUGAGAAACGGUCCAGACUCCUACGGGAGUCAGCAGUGGGGAAUAUGGGGCAAUGGGCGAAAGCCUGAUCGAGACGUGCCGCGGGUGUGAGGAAGGUCUUCGGAUUGUAAAGCACUUUAAGUUGGGAGGCGUUACCAACAGAAUAGGCACCGGCUAACUUCGUGCCAGCAGCCGCGGUAAUUC